GACGAACGCUGGCGGCGUGCUUAACACAUGCAAGUCGUGCGGUAAGGCCCUUUCGGGGGUACACGAGCGGCGAACGGGUGAGUAACACGUGAGCAACCUGCCCUUCACUUUGGGAUAACUGCCGGAAACGGUGGCUAAUACCGGAUAUGACUUCCUCACGCACGUGGGGUGGUGGAAAGCCUUCGGGUGGUGGGGGAUGGGCUCGCGGUCUAUCAGCUUGUUGGUGGGGUGAUGGCCUACCAAGGCUUCGACGGGUAGCCGGCCUGAGAGGGUGACCGGCCACACUGGGACUGAGACACGGCCCAGACUCCUACGGGAGGCAGCAGUGGGGAAUAUUGGACAAUGGGCGAAAGCCUGAUCCAGCAACGCCGCGUGAGGGAUGACGGCCUUCGGGUUGUAAACCUCUUUCGCCUGCGACGAAGCGAGAGUGACGGUAGCAGGUAAAGAAGCACCGGCCAACUACGUG
rnacentral:rRNA from 1 species